rnacentral:rRNA from 1 species
UACGUAGGUGGCAAGCGUUGUCCGGAUUUACUGGGCGUAAAGGGCGUGCAGGCGGUCUGUUAAGUCUAGGGUGAAAGCUCCCGGCUCAACUGGGAGAGGUCCUUGGAUACUGGCGGACUUGAGGGAGGCAGAGGAGUAUGGAAUUCCCGGUGUAGUGGUGAUAUGCGUAGAUAUCGGGAGGAACACCAGUGGCGAAGGCGGCUCACUGGCCCGUUACUGACGCUGAGGCACGAAAGCGUGGGGAGCAAACAGG